rnacentral:rRNA from 1 species
CUGUCACUUAUAGAUGGAUCCGCGCUGCAUUAGCUAGUUGGUAAGGUAACGGCUUACCAAGGCAACGAUGCAUAGCCGACCUGAGAGGGUGAUCGGCCACACUGGAACUGAGACACGGUCCAGACUCCUACGGGAGGCAGCAGUAGGGAAUCUUCCGCAAUGGGCGAAAGCCUGACGGAGCAACGCCGCGUGAGUGAUGAAGGUCUUCGGAUCGUAAAACUCUGUUAUUAGGGAAGAACAUAUGUGUAAGUAACUGUGCACAUCUUGACGGUACCUAAUCAGAAAGCCACGGCUAACUACGUGCCAGCAGCCGCGGUAAUACGUAGGUGGCAAGCGUUAUCCGGAAUUAUUGGGCGUAAAGCGCGCGUAGGCGGUUUUUUAAGUCUGAUGUGAAAGCCCACGGCUCAACCGUGGAGGGUCAUUGGAAACUGGAAAACUUGAGUGCAGAAGAGGAAGGUGGAAUUCCAUGUGUAGCGGUGAAAUGCGCAGAGAUAUGGAGGAACACCAGUGGCGAAGGCGACUUUCUGGUCUGUAACUGACGCUGAUGUGCGAAAGCGUGGGGAUCAAACAGGAUUAGAU